CAACACAGAGCGUCUUUCAAGGUCGCUAUGAGUGCAUGCAUUUGAGAUGCGAUGGAAUAUGCAAUUAUUCAUAAAACUAAUUCAUUGGCUGUGGGAAAAGAAACCUUGAAAUAAAUAUAUGCCUGGUGUUUUAAGUCUGCCUCCUAAGGUAUUGUGAUGAAAGAUGAUUGGCUCUUGGUCUUGUCCCCCUCAUGAGUAACCGGAGUCAAGCAGGUAUGAAGUUAAUUGCCCAAGGUCAUGCAACUCAUCCCUGACUUCCUCAAGGCUUGCAACCGGGUUUCUGCACUUGCCUUCUUCCAUAAAUUUGUAAUCAAGACGAGGAACUGAAGCAAAGCAUCAUUUUGUCAGCUUCUUUAUUGGGAGAUACCUUACGUACAGAAACUGCACGUAACCAAUGUAUGCAAUUUGGUGAGUCUAGGCAAACGUGCACACUCAUGUUACCAUUGUUGCAGCCCGGGUAAGAAAACAUACUCGUCAGCGCUCAGAUUUGUCCUGUGUUUCUUUGUGGCUUUUGUUGCCGGUAUUGUUAUUGUUUUUGCUAUUUGUUGGUUUUUUUGUGUGGUAAAGACACCACUCUCCUCCUAAUAAAUGAUUUCUUGGAUACGGCACGCCAAAAGUACAGGCAACAAAAGCCAAACUACAUAAGUGCGACUACAAUCGACGAAAAAGCUUGUGGGCAACAAAGGCAACAUACUUUCAAACCGUGUAUCUGAUAAGGGGUUAAUUUCCAAAACGUAUAAGUAAUUCAUAGCAAUAAUGGCAAUAAUAAUAAUAACCCAAUUAAACAAUGGACAAAGGACCUUUUGCCAAAGACAUACAAAUGGCCAGUCAGUAUACAAAAAGAUGCUCGACAUCGAUCAUCAGGCAAAUGCAAAUCUAAACCACGCUGAAAUAUACCACCUCACACCUAUGAAGGUGGCUAUUACCAACAACAACACAAGUGUUGGCAAGGUUGUGGAGGGAUUGAAAGCCUUGUGCACUGUUCGUGGGAAUGUCAAUUGCUACAGCAAUGAAAGAUAGUGAGGAGGUUCCUCAAAAAAAAAAAAAAAUACAAGUAUUAUAAUAAUCCAGCAAUCCCAUUUCCAAAGGAACUGAAAUCAGGAUGUUGAAGAACUCCCAAGUUCACUGCACUAUUUUUCACAAUAGCCGCGAUAUCAAAACAACCCAUAUGUCCACUGACAACUGAAUGGAUGAAGAAAAUGUGGCAUAUUCACACAGUGGAAUAUUAUUCAGCCUUCAAAAGGAAGGAAAUCCUAUCAUUUGUGACAAGCUGGAUACCCCUGGGAGACACUAAGCUAAGUGAGAUAAGACAGUCACAGAAGGACAAGUACUUCACUAUUCCUCUAUAUAAGGCAUCUGAAGUAGUUAAAGGUAUAGAAAUAGAUAACUUAAUGGUGGUUAUUAGGGCAUGGAGGAGGAGAUACUGUCUAAUGUGUAGAUCUGUGGCACAGCACAGUGUCUAUAGUUAACAAUAAGGUAUUGCGUACGUAAACAUUUCUCUAUUUUCUUGAAUGAGUCAAAUAAUCAUCUUUAACACCAGGACUGAUAAAUAUCUUGAACAGUGAUUUGAGGGCUUAGGGCUGUGUCUUCUGACUUUGGUGUUCCUUUCCAACUCUAAAUUUUUUUUUUCCAACGUUUAUUUAUUUUUGGGACAGAGAGAGACAGAGCAUGAACGGGGGAGGGGCAGAGAGAGAGGGAGACACAGAAUUGGAAACAGGCUCCAGGCUCUGAGCCAUCAGCCCAGAGCCCGACGCGGGGCUCGAACUCACGGACCACGAGAUCGUGACCUGGCUGAAGUCGGACGCUUAACCGACUGCGCCACCCAGGCGCCCCUUUCCUUUCCAACUCUAAAUCAGUAUAACAAAGCUUUGCUUCUAGGCAAAUUUCACUAAAUGAACACCAGUUACAAUUGAGGUGGAUUGAACUCACUUUUGUUUGCAUCUGAUUCCUGAUUAUAUCUUUCCAAUCACUUAGUUACUUUAAUCAAUUAUCUGUUGAAGCGACGUGGUUCUAGAUGUAAUAUUAACAGUGAAAUUAAAUGAGAGAAAACAUGUGGGAUUUGGAGCAUUAAGCACACAACUAAUUCAAUAAUUUUGAAUCCAUUGACUUAGGUUUCACUUUAUUAUGAACAUUCAUAUUGAUAUUGAAAUUAAACAAGAAUGCUAGUUUGUGGGUUGAGUGUAUCAGCCUUUAACUUACUGUCACUCUUAUUACUGGAUGAUUUAUACUGGGAAAAGAAAUGAGGUUGAUAACAUCAUUCACAUAGGCUAAACUUAUAGACACAAACUAUAAUGCCUGAAACUGUCAUCUGAUUACAUCUAUAUGGUAGGACUUGGGGGAUAUGUUGGAUAGCACUGGAAAAUAUUGACCUUCUUGACUUUGUGAUUGUGUUGCCUGUUAAUACUAAAAAUGUAAAGACCGUAUGCAGCUAUGGAAGACAAAUCUUUUAGAAACUUGCCAUGGGAAGAGCAAAUAGUAACUGAAUGCAUAACAACAUAAGACAUGACAUGUGGAAUCAUACAGACUUGAGUUAGAAUCUUAGUUCUACAUGUGUUAACUAUGAUUUACUAGAUUUUUCUAAGCCUCAGUUUCCUAUAUGCAAAGCUGGGAAUAAUUAUUGAUUCUCCCAGCAAUUCACUGGGAGAAUCAAAUGUGAUAAUGCAUGUAAAAUUCAAAGAGCGGUGUGCCUGUGUAUUGUAAGUGCUUACUACAUUAUUCUUUAAUAAAACUCAUGGAGAAUAUAGAAAACAUAUACAAGUGAUUAUAAUGGAUACCUAAAAAUUCAUAAAAAUGGUAGCUUAAAUGGGUUUGUUUAGCGUAUCGAAUACUGCAGUAGUAUGUUAAAUGAGCACGUAAACUUAAUUGAAAUUUAAUCUAUUUAAUUCAAAAUUAAGCCUUCUUUGCAACUUGGCAGUUAUCCCAGGAGAAGUGUGGAAUUGCACAGGUUUGUGGUUUAUGCUCACAAGGGCCCUGGAUUCUGAUAUUUUUCUUGUGGAGCCAGCAACUAGGAGAAGAGUUUUCUAUUUUGUGGUGGUUGCUAAAAACUGGUGUAUAAAGUGCAUCCCUUCUCAUCUCAGUGGUUUGUGCAUAAUGAAAGCACAUGAGUUCAUCAAAUAUGUAAUUUUUUAAAUGUUUAUUUACCUUUUGAGAGAGGGGGGUGGAGGGGCAGAGAGAGAGGGAGACACAGAAUAUG